UUUUAAGUUCUCUAUUAUGGAGAGUUUGAUCCUGGCUCAGGACGAACGCUGGCGGCGUGCCUAAUACAUGCAAG
rnacentral:rRNA from 1 species